ensembl:lncRNA
GGGUUCGAUCCCUGGGUUGGGAAGAUCCCCUGGAGAAGGAAAUGGCAACCCACUCCAGUAUUUUUGCGUGGAGAAUCCCAUGGACGGAGGCGCCUGGUGGGCUACAGUCCACGGGUCACAAAGAGUCAAACACGACUGAACGACUUCACUUCACUUUCAUGUUUCUUACACACAUGAAUGGCUUUGAUAAAAAUACCAAAAGAAAAGAUAAGAAGUAAUUGUUGAGUCCUGCCCCAAGGCCACAGAUGCGAGGCCUCGCACCAAGGCCUCAGAAGUGGAGCCCAGAACCAAGGUCACCUCCGAAGCUGACGAGCCCCUUUGUAACCUUGCCAAAAGCACCUGAGAAUAACUUAACAAGCUUCUUGGCUCCCAACGCUAUAACGUCCCAAGCAAUCACCUAAUGCUAACCUUCCAGCAGAAAUUUUCUUUGUCUUGAGACUGUAAAAAUUGGCUAUUAACCCAUGAAAACUGCCAACUCUCCUUGGUCUGUCAGGAGUUGUCAGCUCGCUGUGCUCCCAGUGCCCACUUAAUCUCUGUUCUUCGUUCUUUAUC